UACAGAGGGUGCGAGCGUUAAUCGGAAUUACUGGGCGUAAAGCGUGCGUAGACGGUUAUUUAAGUCGGGUGUGAAAGCCCCGGGCUCAACCUGGGAAUUGCAUUCGAGACUGAAUAGCUAGGGUACGGUAGAGGGAAGUGGAAUUUCCGGUGUAGCGGCGAAAUGCGUAGAUAUCGGAAGGAACAUCAGCGGCGAAAGCGACUUCCUGGACCAGUACCGACGUUCAGGCACGAAAGCGUGGGGAGCAAACAGG
rnacentral:rRNA from 1 species